GCAGACCUUCCACGGAUUGACUCUGCCUCGGUAUAUUCCUCUGCGAGGGACAGAAGAAACGGAGCUCACCAUGGCCUCAGAGAGUGGAACUGCUCUGUGGAGCCUUCUCCUCACCUUUGCUUUUCUCUUCUCCUGCUGCGAAGCCCAAGUGGUUCAGAGCCCCGAGUGGCUGGUUGCAGGGGAAGGGGAGGUCUCCACCAUGUCCUGCUCUUUCACCAGCGCUUACCAAACCUUCUACUGGUACCAGCAGCUGCCUGGGCAAGGGCCGACCCACCUGCUGACCACGAGCUCUAAUGACAAUGUCACUGUGGGGCGGUUCAUAGGCGAGCGCCUGGAAAGUGGGAAACGCAGCUCUCUGCACCUCACCGACUCCCAGCUGGGGGACUCAGGCAGCUACCUCUGCGCGGUGAGAGCACAGUGACACAGGCAGAGCUGGGCUCAGGGCAAAAACCCUCAGUUCUCUGGCAGGCAGCUUGGCGGACGAGGUGCGGGGCAGAUCCCCAGGUGGUUUAAAGCAGCGUAAUUCCAUGGCAGCCAAGGGGACAGAUGCUCAGCUGUUAUAAAUGGGCAGAGCUCCAUUGGAGUCAAUGGGCCAUAUCAUAAGGAUACGGAGAUUGGCACCGAGGUUGCAGAUCCUGGGACAGCUGUGUGAAGAUCAGCCUAAAUCUGGUGUCACUCCACAUGUGUUCAUUGUGGUGACUAGAUCACAACUAAAAAAAAAUCAUUUUCUUUCCUUUUUUUCCUCCACUUUCUACAGCAAAGUUUAUUACGAAACAUAACUAGAGAGAAACCAUCUUCUUGUGAGCUGUAGCUCACGAAAGCUUAUGCUCAAAUAAAUUUGUUAG